UCACCGGCAAAAUCCGGUGGCGGGUUUGGUACCCCGCGAACACAAAGGUGCAUAAGCGCCAGCAUUUGCUGGUCUUUU
rnacentral:sRNA from 1 species